AGUGAACGCUGGCGGUAGGCCUAACACAUGCAAGUCGAACGGCAGCACAGUAAGAGCUUGCUCUUACGGGUGGCGAGUGGCGGACGGGUGAGGAAUACAUCGGAAUCUACUUUUUCGUGGGGGAUAACGUAGGGAAACUUACGCUAAUACCGCAUACGACCUACGGGUGAAAGCAGGGGAUCUUCGGACCUUGCGCGAUUGAAUGAGCCGAUGUCGGAUUAGCUAGUUGGCGGGGUAAAGGCCCACCAAGGCGACGAUCCGUAGCUGGUCUGAGAGGAUGGUCAGCCACACUGGAACUGAGACACGGUCCAGACUCCUACGGGAGGCAGCAGUGGGGAAUAUUGGACAAUGGGCGCAAGCCUGAUCCAGCCAUACCGCGUGGGUGAAGAAGGCCUUCGGGUUGUAAAGCCCUUUUGUUGGGAAAGAAAAGCAGCAGGUUAAUACCCCGCUGUUCUGACGGUACCGAAAGAAUAAGCACCGGCUAACUUCGUG
rnacentral:rRNA from 1 species